rnacentral:lncRNA from 1 species
UUUGGCUGGACUAUAAACCACACCACUCCCUUGAUUAAAAUCGAAACCAACAUUAUAACGCUGCAGAAGCGACUGCGUGAGAUUGGUCUGAUUGGCAAUCGACGCCAAAGUAUCUUCGGGUCGGAGCGGGUACGUCAUAAACAAGCCGUAAUCCUUAGAAACGGAGCUAUCCCCACACGAGCAGUCGACACUCACAUUAAGCAGUCCGUUAACGGGUAUAUCACGCUCAGGGUAGGAAUUAAAGUUCAUCAACGACGGAGUCGUGGUCAAAUUGGCAUAGUAUGGAUCGGCGACCUUUCCAUAAGUGUCGUUAGCUCUGACGAUGUAGGUGAAGAAGUGGCCGAGGAAUUCACCGUUGAUGCAGUCACAGGGGAAAGGGAUGCUGAUCCUGAUGAAUGCUGAGAGGUUGUCUUUGCUUGGCACUUGAGGAUUGUAGAGGAUGGUGUCGAAAUCUGUUGGUUUUAAGAUGCUUGAUUGCAUAACUUCGGCGAUGAAUGAAAGGGUAGCUCCUUGCCAAACGUAGUAGGAUGCUAGAGCCAAAUCGCAUCCUUUGCUGCAUUUUGAGUCGAUUGAGUAGCAGAGUAACAGUAGAAGAAGAAACCCAAAUCCUAAUUUGGGAUUCAUUGAUUCGAGAACUUCCUGUUCAGAGCAGGAGGAGGAAGAUGAACUGGAGAAACUGAUUCUGAUUUGUUGACGGUUGACUUGAGGGGGGUUAGUUGUCGAUGAUAAUGGUGAUAAGGUAGUUAAGCAAUUAAUUAAUGGGUUAUUAAAAAGAGAUAAUUAAAACUCGGUCUUGCGUUGAGCUUCCAGAUAGAAAAGAGCUGGAGAGUUAAGAACGCGAUGGCUGCUUUGCUCUCUCACCUUUCUAUCUAAUUGGACACGCAACGCAGCCCAAGCCUGCGGUUUACCUUUUCUUCAUGUUCGAAGAGUCUCUUUCUCUCUUCUCGAGAAGUCAAUUGUCAAAUCUUUGCCAUUGUUUUCUUCCUUUCAUGUUUGAACUUGGAAUGUGGCCAUCUAAACCUUUUUUAAAAUAAAAUAAAACAACGGUUCGUUCCACUCUCCAUUUUUUUUCCGGUUGAAGAGACGUGAUACACUUUUUUUUUUUUUUUAUGUUUACGAGGAAAGAAAGUUCGCUGAAAAACACGAGAGAAGAUAAAUUAACGAGCAUUUGAGUUGUCCUCAUGGAUCAUGGAUGUAAAGGAAUUUAAAUAAUUAGAUUUUUUUUUAAAACAAAUUUAAAAUAGUAUUUGUUUUAUAUAAAGGUGAUGGUACAUUAAAUCAACUCAGUUUCAUCAUUUAAUAUAUUAAAUGCACAACUCAAAUAAUGAGUUUUGUUAGGUUUAACAAUUUUGUUUUUUAAUUAUUUUAUUUAAUAAUAUAAUAUAAAAAUAAACACUCACAAAAUUAAACAAUAAAUAAAUAUGAGGAUAUUUGUUUGAGACUAUAAUGACCUUCUUAAAAGAAAACCUAAAUAAAUUAUGAAAAAUAAUUGAAAAUCAAUUAAAUAUUAAAGAAUAAAAUUGAAAAAAAAUAAAAACAAUUUGACUAAAAAAAAUAUUAGAAGUUGGAUUUUAUAUAUAUAUAAACUAUUUAACAUUAUUAUUAAACUCAAUCUAGCAAAUUUAUCUUAAAAUCUCUUGACUUGAAUCUCCAAUUAGCCCCAAUUUAAAUUAACUUACAUGAGAGUUGUCUCUACGUAACCUAGUCAACUUGACGGGUCCAAUAACAAUUUGAAUGAUUGGUAAAAACAUGGUUAGGUUAAAAAAAAUAAAGAUUAUUUUGUUUUUUUAAUAUCAAAACAACAACAUAUUUGAUCAACUUGAGUUUCGUAACUUAUUUUAUCAAACUCAUAACCUCAGUCAUGGACUCAAUUGAAUUUAAAAAUAUUUUUUAUUUAAUGAUAUGAUAAUAAAAAUAAAUACUUGUAAAAUUGAGUACCAAAUAAAUGCAUGUUAUUUUAAGAUUGUGAUAAUUUAAAAAAAUAAAUCAAAAUAAAUUAUGAUGAUUAAUUUAAAAAAUAAUAAAAUAUUAAAGAAUAAAAUUAGUUUGAAAAAAUAUAAAUAAACACUCAAUUGGAAGAAGAAAAAUUAGAAGAUAUAUAGAAUUGUUUUUUAAAAAAAAAAAAAAAGGGGGGGGGGAAGGGGGAAAAAACACCUCUUUUAUUGUUCUGAAGCAUGGGCAGAAACGUCGAGUCUUCUUUCACCUUUAGAUUUAAUAAUGUUUUACUAAUUUCUCAAUGCAUUAGUUAACAGUUUUAAAAUUAUAUAUAUAUAUAUGGACUUGGGAAGGUGCAGCAUAUUCUCUAGCCAGGUAUUGGUGCAUAUAAUUUUUAUAGGUUAUCUAUUUGGUAGGGAGGGGACCGAGUCAAACAAAUUCUUAAAUAAACAAUUUACCAUCCUUUUAUUAUAUUAUGUAUUUUGUCAUUUUAUCGUCGUCCUUUUUUGUAGGGUUCGUGUUCAAUAUGUAAGAUUCUUACACAUUCCUUUAUAAUAUUUUUUAUUACAAAUAUUAUAUUUGUAUUUAAUUGAAAAUAAAUGGUUUUAUAUGGUUGGUUCAUGUUUGAAAAUCUAGGAAGGAUUUAAAUAUAUUUGUUGUUAUAUUCAUAAAAUGACUUAAAGUAUUUAACUUGAUUGUUUGAUAUUUGUUCUUUUUUUUUCUUAAUAUAAUAACUGCAGCCGCAAUUCAUUAUAGAUGUAGUGAAUUGUUUUUUAUUUUGGUUAUUAAACUCUUUUCUUUUUUGUUCUUUAAUUACAAAAUUGAUUGCUAAUUGUUUCUAACUGGGAUAUGGAAUGAUGAAAUUUAAUGAAAAUGAUCAAAGUAAAAAUAACAUAGCAACUAAUCGGCUCUUUAAAAAUUAAUGUGAAAAGUUUAUUUUUGUUCUCAUAUUGUUCACUGUAAAUAUUUUUUUUAUCUUUUUAGUUUUUAAAAGUUAAUUUUUUUAUCUAAAAUUUUAUUUUUAUUAUUUUCUAGUCAUUGAAUUUAAGAGAAAGAAUUGCUGCAUUUUAAUUGAGGAGAGGAAAAAUAUUGGUUGGCAUUGAUUUCAAUCAAUAAAAUAAUUAAUUUUGAUAUCAAUAAAUUUUUUUUAAUGAUAAGAUUUUCAAUUAGGUGUCUGCUGACCUUUCUAGGCUUAAAAAAUGUUUUUAGAUUCAAAUUAAUUCUUGGUUUAUAAAAUGAUUAGUUGCUAAUUUGAGCCCGUCGAAAAGUUUAUUUAGGCUUUUAUGAUUUUUUUUUUAAUGUAUUUUUAGUGAAGUCAGUUUCCCAUGGACGGCCUUCUGUAUUUUGCUGCUACAUUUUUAUUGUAUCACCUUGACAAGAUCGAAAUUAUAACAAAACCUAAAAUAUAUCCUUACACUCCCUAAAAUAUAUCCUUACACUCGUAUUUCACUUAUCAUUUUACAAUUUUACCCUUAAUAAUUUAAGUUUUAUAGCAUGUAUUCAAGGGUAAUUCAAUAUUUUUCACGGGAUACAUUUGCUUUUACAGAGUUGAAUGAGGGCACAGUGCAAAAAAUAUCAUCAAAAGUUGAAUUUUACUAACUAUAAGGGCAGAGGCGCAUCAGUUUUUAUUCUUAUUGCCUCAGUGUACUUACUAAAGUGUCAUUUUAAUCGAAUAAUCUAUACUUAAAAUUGAGGGGGUUUUUUUGUCUUUUAAUUAUUUUUUUUCAUUAAUAUUGUGUACGUCAAGAGCAUUUUGGUAUUUUUAUAAAUUAAAAAAAAAAUUGUUGGCAUAUGGGAGGUAUCUGUGCCCUUUGAAUGACAUGUGCGACGCCUUCCAGUGAACGCACACCAUAUUUUAGGGUCACAUUCGAUGCGUCUCUCCACCCUUUUCACGGUGGUGAGACACUUGCAGCUGCUCCAUACACGGUGGAGCUUUGACAAUAUUUUUGCUUUUCCUUUUUGUUUGGGAGUGUGGUAGCGGUUGCUUUUCAAAUAACUUUUCGUGCCGAAAAAACAUGCCAAUAAUAUUUUUUUUAUUUUUUAAAAAUUAUUUUUGAUAUCAGCACAUCAAAACGAUCCAAAAGGUACAAACCGCACUCAAUUUUAGCAAAAAAAAAAUUAAAAUUUUCCAAAAAGCAGGUUCAACCGUAGUGCCAAACGGGCACUUAGUUUCUCUUUUCAACAUUGAAAAAUGUGUUGCUCUUGCAAAAAAAAAAAAAUAGAAGAUUGUGUUAUUUGUUAAUUCUAUCAUAUUUGAUCUAACUCUUUUAAUUGUAUUAAAUUUAUUUUUUUUUUUUAAAUUUUAUCAUUUGACCUUUUAUUUUUAUAUUAUGAUAUGAUAUCUCAGGUUAGACCAUCAAUGUUUUUAUUUCUAGUUUAAAUUCUUGACUCAUUUAUCAAAUUUUAAUUUCUUUUCAAUUUUAUCAUUUGAUUCUUGAUUUUUUUUAUUUUUUAAUUUUUUAUAUUUGAUCCCUAUUCUUUUUAAUUUAAUUUCUAUUUUAGAUUCUUUUAUGAAUUUAUUUUUAAUUUUUCACUUCAAUUUAAAAUUUAAUGAUAUUUAAAGUUUGGCCUCAAUGUUUUAAUUUUAAUUUUGAUUCUAGCGAAUGUUAACGCUGAAAGAUUUUCUAAUUGCAGCAGAUACCAAUUAAGCAGAAGCUAAGCCAAUUCAGUGGCUGAUUGGAUAGCAAAGCAAGCCGAGGCUUCCUUUGCUUUUUCUUAAAUGGGUGAUUAACCCUAAACCCUCAAGUUGAUGAAUGAACAGAUCUUUCAGAUUUCAACCAAAAAAAAAAAUAUUAUUCGGAAUUUUAUGCAUUCAUCAAAUGAUUAAUGCUACAGUUUAUAUUCCCUCCAGAUCAAUUUCCAACUAUCAAAUUUACAGAUUAACGAUAUAUGUAUACAUCUACAUGAAAAGAUUUUGGUGUAUUCGCAUAAUCAUUUCAUAAUAUGUGAUGACCUUGCCUUCUAUCUUCCUGACAUUAGAUUGACAAGAGCUUGAUUUUCAUAGAAGGCGCCAACAUCCCAAUCCUCCGUGGCGGAUGAAAGAGUCAUUAAAGCAACCACAAUGGAUCUCAUACUUGGCCGCAGCUGAGGAUUCUCUUGGUGCAUGCCUUGCCGAGCUGGGCCAUCUGGAACCAAAAUAGGCACACAGCUCAGAUUUAGACUGCAAAAACAGGAUCUUUAUAUGUGUAUUUCCAAAAGAAGUUUGUUUGUUUACCUUGCGAACUGAAUCGAGUGGAUAGUCUUCUCCGAGCCUUGGAUCAACUACUUUGUGAAGUCUUCCCUAGGAUCAGGCUGGUUAAGAACAUCCUCAAACUGUAGAAUGGAGUAAAAAACAAAAGGUCAGCUUGUGGGUGCUUUCUGGAUGUAUUCAGAAGCAGAACAUAUAUAGGCUUGAAAGUUAAGUCUAAGAGAGAGCCUCAAAGGUGCUGGUAAAAUUCAUUUCAACUCCACUAAGCCUUGUCAGAUGGCAGAACCAUAUGAAAAUUGUUAUUCAAUUUUCCUGGUUCAGCACCGAGUCAAGCUUCAGCAGAGCUCGAACUACAGUAAAUUAAGUACAUCUAUUAGCAUCCAGAAAUUAAUAGAUAUAAAGAGGAAUGGCAGAAAAUUAACCAAAGCAACAAGGCCCCUUGAUUCAGCACUAGAAUCAUUUGUCUUGACAAUAGCUUCUUUAGCAGAAAUAAGUUCAUAGAGGACAACCCCGAGUGCGUAAACAUCUACUUUUGGAGAAACAUCACCAUAUUGAGCAUAUCUGCACAGAAUCAUGGGAAAUGUCAAUCCAUGUUUCAUAAAAAAAAAGAAAUGCUUCAUUUAAGUUUUUGUCCCUUGUCCUGCUAGAUGCAUAAAAUACACUCACAUCUAUUCUCAGAAACUAAACAUGACAUUAAAUUUUCAUUUUCAAACUAUAGGGACUUCAUCAGAUAUACUUCUAAAAUCCUUGAUUUAUAAUUAUGAUCAUGCAACCCAAAAAUCUUACUUAGCUGCAGCACACAAACGUGUCUUCCCACAAUAAAAACAACUCUUUUGCAUCAUAGUCAGAGUCCGACAUACAACUCACUCAUUUUUUGCUACACUGAUUUCAUGCCUGACAUCCUUUCUUUUUUUUAUCUAUUUUUUCCUCGUUCUGGGUCAUGAAUUUAUAAACUGGGAGAUCAACCUCCCAUCCCAAACCCCUCCCUGCCUGGUAACAAAGGAUUUGGAAAACUUUGGAUUUCACAGGGAGGUUUAUGCCAUCAAUGUAGAUGGGUAAUAGAAGCAACACAAAAUUCUCAAUAGCCUUCAUUAGAAUAUUUUUAGAGCCACCUGCCGCCCAUUUACUGACCCUAAUUCAAAAAUCUAUCAGAUGUUCCAACAAUGACAUCCACAAUUAUGCAGGUAAAAAAGGUAAAAUCACACAGCUCAUAAACACUUCUUUUGCUCUGACACAGAGUUUGGGCUCUUUGUCCAAACAGUUAUAAAGACAAGAAAAAGAUGCUAAGAAAUUGAGACCAGCCAGUUGUUAAGCUAAACAGGAUCCUAUCUGAAACCAAUUCCAAAGUUCUUAUCUUCUUAUAGAAUUGUUAGAAAAGAAAAUGUCUUACUCUGGCGGCAUGUAUCCAAAUGUACCCACAAGACGUGUAGGGAGUGAUGCACUCCAACCUCAGUUAGUUUUGUUAAUCCAAAUCUGCAACCUGUAUCAGAAAGUUUAAUACAAAUAUGCGAAAAAAAGCUUGAAAUGGAACACCAUCAUGACAAAAAUCAAUCCAACCUUUCCCCGGAAGUUCUUGUCAUCAGUAUGUUUGCUGAUUUAAUAUCACGAUGAAUAUAAACAGGGACAGUAUGCUCAUGGAUGUAUUCAAGGCCUCUAGCUGAAUCAAGGGCAAUUUGCACUCUUGUAGACCAUGGCAAUGGAUCCUUCUCUGCAAACAAGCAACACUUUUAUCACUGCCAUUCAAUGUCUGCUACCACCAGAAACAAUGUUCAAAAUGGACAUGUAGUCUCACCAGAGCCACGCAAAUGUUGGCUUAAGUUUCCAUUUUCAAUAUAUUCGUAGACAAGGAAAAGAGAACCGUCAACACAGUAUCCUAUCAAUCGGACCUGUAUUAAAUGUAGAUAGUACUAUUUAGUGCAUAGAAUACAUGCAAACAUUAUUUAGUGCAUCACAAUUUAUAUAAAAAAAAAACUUCAAAAUUUUACAAAGCCAUCAACUCGAGUGUCCAGAUACACUUUCAAGUGCACAUGCAUGAUGCGAUCCUGGCUCCUGACUACCACAUCAAAGGAUCAUUAGGAAUGUCUAUUGGAUUUAUUUUAAGGCCUAAAACAAAAUGGAUCCAAGAGAAGUUUAAUGGGUUAAGUCAAGAGGCUUGGGUUAAAAAUGUUCAAAUCUGUAGGCUGGACCUUUGUCUACUCUUCAGGUCAUAUCUAAAGCUACAGGAGAGUUUGAAUGCGAUUCCAAUUGGUUAAGAACUAGACAUUUGUACCUUUCCAACAAUAUAUGGUAGGUUGCUGAUUCAUCGAGAUGAAAGAGAACAACAUGUUUAAAGUUGGUCUAGAAUCUGCAGCAAAGUGUGAAAAUAAAAAUAAAUUGUUUCCUUAAGAGUUAUGGAUUCCAUUCACUACAAGGAAUCCUUAAUGCUAUUGAGAAUUUAUGUGGCAGCUUUUCGGUUGCUUAUUUUAGAGGGAUUCCAUAGCAAACAAGAAUUAAUUGGUUAGAAAUUAAUUCUUAUUUUACAAGGCAUCAUGCUUUUGUUCAACAAGGUUCUUCAACAAUUAUUUCUCUUGGAUAUUUUUUACUAUCAUAUGACAAAUGGUGAAAAAUAAUCUUAGACUUUUUUUAUUUUUUUUAUUUUAAACUUUAUUUAAUUAGUUUGGGUUUUAUUUAAAUUAAGUGCAUGUCUGACCCAUUAGUUUUAGGAUUUACAUAGAAAUACUCUUAUGUAAAGAUUUUUAUUCAGAUGAUGAAUUUUUAUCUAAGAUUACCGUAAAUUGUGUGAUUUUUUCUCUCUGUGUGGUUGAGUGAUUCUCACACUAAGUUCUUGAUUGAAAUUGUAAACUCUUCAAAGGAUUGAUCAACUUCAUUGUGAUUUAUACUUCUCAUUCGUACUCAAUUAUAGGUAGGGUAGGGUGAUCAACUACAUAUAAAUUUGUUUUUCAAGGAAGGUACUUAUUGGGUCAAGUUGCAACUUUUUUUCAAACCUCAAAUUAACAAUCUAAAGGACAAUUCCAUAUCAAUUUGGUAUCAGAUUGUUAUAAUAAUUCUAGGGUUUUCUUUAGAUCUUACUAAUCUAGGGUUUGUUUCUUGUUUUUUUUUUUUUUUCUCUCUCUAGGGUUUCAGCUAUUACAAAAAAAAAAAGAUUGAAUGUUGAUUAAUCUUUGUGGUGUUCAUGGAAUCUUGAUUAAAAAAAAAAGAAGAGAAUCGUUUUUGAUAGGAAAAGAAAAAAAGUCUUGAAGAUGCGGAAAAAAAAUUGAUACAAACAACAAAUUGUGUUUAUCUUUGGCUUGAAAAACUCGACACCUAUUAAAAUAAAAAAGAAUCAAAAUCGCAAAUCUUGAAAGGAUUUUAGAGAAGCAAUUCAGAAUUUUUUUUUGCAUGAACUAGGGUUUAGCCAAAACUUGUCUUGGAAAUUCUUGGUGAUCUUGAUUGAUUUCUUGCAGGUUUGAGUAGAAAAAAUUAUCUUGUCAUUUCUUAGUUUCUUGAUUUCUUGCAUCGAUUUCUUUAUUUUCUUGAAUUUCGUCGUUUUCAUUGUUCUUAAUAAUAUUUUGCUUGUAUUUCAUGUUCAUCAUUAUAUUCGCACAAAUUACAUUGCUACUCAAAUUUUGUUUUGAAAGUUUGAAUAAUUAUUGAUUCUUAAGUCGUUAAAUAUAAAAUAAAUCAUUGCGUAAUUUGGUUAAUUGUUUAAUAAGUUAUUAAGUUACUUUUAAGAACCAAAGUACAGAAUAGCGUGGUAAAAGACGUAGCAAGUCCAUUAGAGUGAAAAACCUAAUAAAUUAUAUAAAACAUGAGAGUAAUUUUAUUGUGAGCAUAAACACGAGGUUUGUGUGAGAAAAAUAAUUAUUUUUUUUAUUUGCUACUACCUGUAUUUCCGAUAUAAACAAUGUCUUAAAUUGUAUUGAACAAAAAAAGAUGAGAAUAUGGAGAAAAUAUAGGAUAGAAUGAAAGCUAUGAUGGAGGUGUUAAUGAUUAAGUUUGGUGAGAUGAUUGGUAGAUAAAGAAUUCCUAGUCGUAAGGAAAAGGAAGUUGAAAUGCCUAGUAUUAAAGCUACAAUGAAUGAUGAUAUAGUGUGGAUGAUAAUUUUGAAGAUAAAGAAAUGAAGUUUUCAAAGGCUGAUGAUCAAAAAGUUGCUAUGAAAUUGGUAAAGGAACAACAAAGAGAGAUCUUCCAUACAAGAUGUCACAUUAGUAACAAAGUGUCUAGCAUGAUUAUUGAUGGAUAAAGUUGUGCUAAUGUGUUAGUACUAUACUUGAUAAGAAAUUGAUUCUAAAACUGUUAAGCAUGAACACCUUAUAAGCUUCAAUGGUUGAAUGAAUGUGCUAAAGUUAUAAUGAGUAAACAGGUUUUGAUUUCUUUUUUUGAUUGGAAAGUAUAAGGAUGAAAGUUUUGUGUGAUGUGGUUCCUAUGCAUGCUACUCAUUUAUUGUUAGGGAGACCUUGACAAUUUGAUAGGAAGACCAAAUAUGAUGGAUUUAAAAAUAGAUAUUCUCUUCAGAAGGAUGAAAGGGCAUGCAAACUUGCAUCAUUGUCACCUAGACAGGUUUAUGAAGAUCAAUUGAAAUUAAAAAGGAAAAGUAAAGCUGAAAUAAUAAUACAACAAUGUGAAGUCGUGGUUACCAUGCAAAAAUAUACACAAAAGUGGUUAGUAAGGCGUUUUUAUCUGAAAUUAUUUCCAGCUAAUAUUUUUAUACAGUGUUGUUGGAAGCAAAAGUUGACAAAAGGAGAGCUUUAAAGACUUAAACAAGACCAAUUAAAUCUGAAAAGAAAAGGCAAAGCCAAGGAGACAAAUAAAACAUGUGAAGUUGUGAUUUUAAAGAGUGAAAAUAAAGUGAGCCUAAAAGAAAAAAUAAGAGAAAAAACUCAGAUUCGGCUAAAAGAGAAAAAAAGUCAAUUGAAAUCGAUAGUGGAGAGAAGAAAAUAAGGAUGAGAAAAGAAAAGAGUGUAUAAAAUAUAGGUAAACACAUGAGUCUCUAUACAAAAGAAAAGCGAGAUCAAUAGUGUAUAUUUUUUUGACAUGCCUAUGAUUUACUUAUGCAUAAUGAGAUAUAUUUUAACACUAACAAUCUUGAUUAUUUUAUUUCUAGUGUUGCUAUAUCUUUAUUGCAGGAUUUUGAGGAUGAUAUAGGACAAUUAAAUUCAGAUUUGAGCUUAAUUUGUUCUACCAUGUAGCUUUACGCUAACAAGCAUAAUUUUGUAUCUGAUCGUUGGAUCAAGCUAAAAUUUUACCAGAAGUUUUCAGAGAUUUUCUUUUUAUCUUGGGUUAGAAUUUCAGGGCGAUUAAAGUUUGGUAAGGCUUUCUGAUAAAGGGUUGGAGUUGUUGUUCAGAUUUUACUGUGUAUUUUCUGAUGAGAUCCAUGGUGAUUUGCUAUUGAUAUAUAGUGCGAUCAAUAAUAGUAUGGUAAAGUACAAACAUCCUAUCCCUAGACUUGAUGAUAUUCUUAAUGAGUUGCAUGGAUCUUAAAUGUUUGAAAAAUAAGAUUGAUUUGAAAAAUAGUUAUCAUCAAAUUAAGAUGAAAGAAGGGUAUGAAAGGAAAAACAACUUUAAGACUAAAUGUGAAUUGCUUGAAUGAUUAGUCAUGUUAUUUAGUCUUACAAUUGCCCAUAUUAAUUUAAUGAGAUUGAUGAAUCAUAUAUUGUGUGCAUUCACAUGAAGCUUUGUUGUUGAUUACUUUAAUGAUAUUUAUGGUAAGAAUUUAGGUGAGCAUGUUGAGCAUUUACAAUUUUUGUUUGAUAAGUUACAAAAAAAAUCGUUAUGUGCAAAUCUAUUAAAUUGGAAAAAAUUAUUCACAAUUUCAAAUAGCUUAUGGUUUAACUCUAUUAGAUUUGAUUUCUUUACUUAUUGAUGAGAACGUUAGACUUGAUGGCAAUAGAAAAGCAAGGGUGAUGAAAGGCAUUGUUAAAGAAGGUACGGCAACAUGUUCAAAAAAAAUGAGAAGUAUGCAUUCCAAGCAAGCAAAAGAUGAAAAAGGAUUGCCUUUGAAACAUGAGAUUAAGUUUGGAUGCAUAUGCAUAAAGAGAGAUUUCUUGAUAAUAGAAAAUCAAAGUUAAUGCUUAGAGAAGAUGAUUCAUUAAGAUUCCUUGAAGGAGUCAAUGCCUACAAAGUGAGUCUACAAGGUGAGUAUAAUGUUAGUGCUAUAUUCAAAGUUUUUUAUCUUUUUUUGUUUGAUGUAGGUGAUAAUUCGAGGUUGAAUUCUCUUGAAGAGAGAGUGGAUGAUGUGAUCUUGGCUACGACAUCAAAUGAUCCAUCAAGAGUGUCAAUUGGAUCUAUUCUAAGGCCUAAAACAAAGUGGAUUCAAGAGGAGUUUGAUGGGCUAAGUCAAGAGGCAGCCUUUGAGUUGGUUAUUUUAUAAGGAUUCAAUAUCAAACAAGAAGAAUUAAUUGUUCAGAAAUUAAUUCUUAGUUUACAAGGCAUCAGGUAUUAUUUCUCUUGGUAACUUUCACUAUCAUAUGUGGCAAAUGGUGAAAAAUAAUCUUAGACUACUGUUUUAUUUAUUUUUAUUAUUUUAAACUUUAUUUUAAUUAGUUUGAGUUUUAUUUAAAUUGGGUACAUGUCUAACCCAUUAGUUGAUGAGUUUUUAUCUAAGGUUGCUGCGGAUUGUGUGCUUUUUUCUCUGUGUGGUUGAGGGAUUAUCAUAUUAAGUUCUUAAUUGAACUUGUAAACUCUUCAAAUGAUUAAUCAAUUUCGUUGUGAUUUAUACUUCUCGUUCAUGUCUCUUUAUAAACGUAAGGUGGGGGUAAUCAAUUGCAUAUAACUUUGGUUCUUCAAGUCAAGGUUCAAACCUUCUCUCAAGUAAAGCAAAGAUGCUAUCACCUAUUUUUGUUCAUAAGCACAAUCUAUAUUUCUUGUAAUUGCAAAAAGAUGAGCACAUUACCAGGUUUAGGUGGUGAACAUGUGUUAAAACCUUGAGCUCAGCAAAGAAUUCUUUUGAUGCUUGCACAUCCAUCUUCUUAAUGGCAGCUUUCUGCAUAACAAGUCAAAAAUAUAAAUUUUAGAAUAGAAAUACACACAUGGAAAAUAUAUAAAACAUUUGCAGGCACCGCAGUUUUGGUCAGUUCAGUUGGAAAAUGUCUUAUCUUUUUUAAUUAAAAAAUUUCCAAAUGCUAGAAAGCUGAAUGCAAACUGAAUUGAAUCAAUUCCAUCCGGUCAAAUUUUGAAAAAUAGACAACGAUUAAAAAAUGCAUGGCACAUUGAUUAAGGUUGUUUAGUAGAGGUACAUCACUUUAAGGCUCUUUAGAAUUUCCAACCCAUUUUUAUGUUAUAUAUGAAUUAUAAACUGAUUAAAAAUAAAUAAAUUUCAAUUGAUAUCACUAAGUUUGUUAGGUCAUUUUAGUUCUUCUCCAAAGGCAACAGAACAGCAGCAUUUGAGAUUAUAUAUUUUCCUUCCAAAUUAAACCAAAACUGAAACAACUGGUCUGAAUGUUUUCAAUUGAGUCAGUUCAGAUAUUCAUUUUUGACAAAAUUCUGCUCACUCUUUAUGCCGACAUAAUUCAAGAAAAGAUAAGGUAUGGACCUCAAUCCUUAAAAACACAAAGGUUGCUAAAAAAUGCAGCUGCAGCAACCACUAUUUCAUUUCAGCCUAAGCAGACGCUACCAGUUAAUGUAGUUGCUCACCCACCUGUUCCAUUCACUCAGUAGAAUACUUUUCAUUCAUUUCUAUAACAAGGAUUCCCCGUUCUAAUUAACUAAUGACUAGGCUUCACAGAGCUUAUUUGAAAGCAGCUCUAGAACUGCUAUGCUCUACUAACAUAAAUCUCUCCAGAGCAGGUAAAAGCAUGUGAUAUGACAUGUUUGAAUUAACAAAUCAAAGUGUUAUCAGUUCACAUCAAGCGUUUAAUAUAAAAGCGGCAAAGUAACAUUAUCCUAAACUCAAAAUAUGCUGAAUAAUCUUGUCCUCAAUAACAUAACUAUAAAUGACCUUCUACAAUAGAUGGAUCUGCAUGGCUGUUUUAUGUGAGAUCCAUUGCUAUGUAGUAGGAUGCUAGAUUAUAACGAACUUCCAAUAUAAAAACAGGAAAAAAGAUCAGGCACCUGCUCUUAUCUUUAAAAGCUCAGCAAAGGUGCCAAACUAACUCAAACUCAAUACCUAACAUUCAAUACCUCACAGGAAAAUGCAUGAUGUUUCACGAUUACUUUAACAAUGGGGAUCAUAAAAAAUUAAAGAUUACAGUAAUUACAGACCUUGCCUCUCAGUUCUGCAUAGUAUACAGACCCAAAGCCUCCUUGACCAAUCUUAUUUGCCAGACUAAAGUCAUCAGUGGCCUUAGCAAGUUCUUCAUAAGAGAAUUCCACAGACUUGUCCAUAGUUAUACCUUUAAGACCUUGGGACACAGUCGCAUCCACAGGUUUAUUGGAGUUACUUCCAGGUACUGAACCAAGACAGAGGAACAUUUAACAUGUUUAGUCAUCUACAUGAUUUCACUUUCUCCAGAAGUAGAAGAGAAUCUAGAGGUGGUAAGAUGAGAUGAUUAUAUUUCAAUGCGUUCACUCAAUGAAAAAGAAUUAACCAUGAAUUGGACCAUGAUGGUCAUGGUCCUCAGAAAAAGAAACAUUGAAAAAGAACCAUCCUAGUGUUCUCUAUGGAAGAAAUAAUGCAAGAGAAAUCUGUUCAAACCAGUGAUCGUUGAGAACUCUUCAAUCAUAAAUAGAUGUCAGGGAUAGUGAUAGAAAAACCUUGAACAAUUCGUGGAGAGAGUUCUUGAGACGCUGACAGCAAUAUUGGCUCCACCUUCUUCUUGCGGUAAAAUCCCACGUAUAUAAAAACCGCCAGCAACAACGCCACCUGCUAUUCCUGGUUAUAAGAAAAUACAACAUCAGUUCAAAAUAGCACGAAGUUUGCAUGAUAGCAUCUUACAUCCACGCCCAAAGAUUAAAAAAUCGACACGCAAAGAAGCCCAAAGCACCUGUGCUGCGAAAGGGAAAAUGAAAAGGGAAGGAAAUUACAAACAUUUAGUAAUUGCAACACCCAAAAAUGAACAAACAAAUUUAGAAUACAGUCUAAGUACAGAAAGUUACCUCGAGUUCAAGGGCCGGUAGCUACCAUCUGCAUCUGUAAAUAAAGAAAAAGAUAUGGUAAGGCAAAUUCAUAGCUUCAAACAACUAAAAACAAAUAUCUUUAGAAUUUAACAAAUGGGGCAAUCCCUACCAUAAUAUCACGAAUUCUCUAACAUAAUUCUCCAAACAAAUAUCCCAAUAUUUAGGGUGUAUUUUCUGAACUAAUUAAAUCACUCCAACUAAUUAUCAAAGCAAAAACAUUAUCUAUCAAACUCUUUCUAAAAAUAACAAAAUACCUUUGGCUGGAAUAUAAACCACACCACUCCCUUGAUUAAAAUCGAAACCAACAUUAUAACGCUGCAGAAGCGACUGCGUGAGAUUGGUCUGAUUGGCAAUCGACGCCAAAGUAUCUUCGGGUCGGAGCGGGUACGUCAUAAACAAGCCGUAAUCCUUAGAAACGGAGCUAUCCCCACACGAGCAGUCGACACUCACAUUAAGCAGUCCGUUAACGGGUAUAUCACGCUCAGGGUAGGAAUUAAAGUUCAUCAACGACGGAGUCGUGGUCAAAUUGGCAUAGUAUGGAUCGGCGACCUUUCCAUAAGUGUCGUUAGCUCUGACGAUGUAGGUGAAGAAGUGGCCGAGGAAUUCACCGUUGAUGCAGUCACAGGGGAAAGGGAUGCUGAUCCUGAUGAAUGCUGAGAGGUUGUCUUUGCUUGGCACUUGAGGAUUGUAGAGGAUGGUGUCGAAAUCUGUUGGUUUUAAGAUGCUUGAUUGCAUAACUUCGGCGAUGAAUGAAAGGGUAGCUCCUUGCCAAACGUAGUAGGAUGCUAGAGCCAAAUCGCAUCCUUUGCUGCAUUUUGAGUCGAUUGAGUAGCAGAGUAACAGUAGAAGAAGAAAC